rnacentral:rRNA from 1 species
GAUGAACGCUAGCGGCAGGCCUAACACAUGCAAGUCGAGGGGUAGUUACUUUCGGGUAAUGAGACCGGCGCACGGGUGCGUAACGCGUAUGCAAUCUACCUUUUACAGGGGAAUAGCCCAGAGAAAUUUGGAUUAAUGCCCCAUAGUAUGUAUGAAUCGCAUGGUUUAUACAUUAAAGUUCCAACGGUAAAAGAUGAGCAUGCGUCCCAUUAGUUAGUUGGUAAGGUAACGGCUUACCAAGACGAUGAUGGGUAGGGGUCCUGAGAGGGAGAUCCCCCACACUGGUACUGAGACACGGACCAGACUCCUACGGGAGGCAGCAGUGAGGAAUAUUGGACAAUGGGCGCAAGCCUGAUCCAGCCAUGCCGCGUGCAGGAAGAAGCAUCUAUGGGUGUGUAAACUGCUUUUUGUACAGGAAGAAACACUCCCUCGUGAGGGAGCUUGACGGUACUGUAAGAAUAAGGAUCGGCUAACUCCGUGCCAGCAGCCG